rnacentral:rRNA from 1 species
GACGAACGCUGGCGGCGUGCCUAAUACAUGCAAGUAGAACGCUGAAGGAGGAGCUUGCUUCUCUGGAUGAGUUGCGAACGGGUGAGUAACGCGUAGGUAACCUGCCUGGUAGCGGGGGAUAACUAUUGGAAACGAUAGCUAAUACCGCAUAAGAGUAGAUGUCGCAUGACAUUUGCUUAAAAUGUGCAAUUGCAUCACUACCAGAUGGACCUGCGUUGUAUUAGCUAGUUGGUGAGGUAACGGCUCACCAAGGCAACGAUACAUAGCCGACCUGAGAGGGUGAUCGGCCACACUGGGACUGAGACACGGCCCAGACUCCUACGGGAGGCAGCAGUAGGGAAUCUUCGGCAAUGGACGGAAGUCUGACCGAGCAACGCCGCGUGAGUGAAGAAGGUUUUCGGAUCGUAAAGCUCUGUUGUAAGAGAAGAACGAGUGUGAGAGUGGAAAGUUCACACUGUGACGGUAUCUUACCAGAAAGGGACGGCUAACUACGUG